UUCGGCUCGAUCCCAUACUUUGUCAGAGUCACGAAGACCCCAUUUGAAAUCCUGAUAGGUUUACGGCUUAUGCGUCAAUGUCGAAAUUCGUAGAUGGACUGAAUGCAAGGACACAAUGCAAAGACUUACAGCACCCCAAAGAGUUCUCACUGCUGUAAACUCAAUCUUGAACCUCGGGUUAUCUUGCGCACUCCGUCCGGUACGGACGGCGUACAAUUCAACUGCUUUCCCUUCUGGCCCAUCAUCUUGACAGUCAUCCCAAAACUAUCUCCUUCUGAAAUCGUAUCCAACGCAAACUCCACCCCUCACCCUGCCAAAUCCAAUGCCUCUGAGAUGGCUUGGGAUUGAUUGUGGUAAUCGAUAGUAACGUCGGCACUGUACGAUUUGACAAGCGAGAAAGAGUGGGGAGAACAGAUGCCAAGGACGCGGUAACCUAGAGCUUUGCCGAGGGAUGUAGGGAAUAAGCCGACCGAGGUUGAAGGGCCGUAGAUGAUAUACCACGGGUUCCCGGACACUUUGGUAUUGUUUACUAGCACACAUCUCACGCACACAGACACCCACCUGAGCAGCAGUCACCCACCCAAUCCCAAAACGUCGCCCCUCCUCCAAAGGCAUUCCUCCGGUACGACAAAACACAUAUCACUCUCCACCACCGCGUAUUGAGCGUACGACCCUUCGACAGUGGAAGAUCCACCGCUGAUGCACCCUGCGACCUUGUCCCCGAUUUUGAGCGGGGUGUUGAGGUUGGGUCCGAGUUUGAUGACGGUGUCGGCGCAGUCGCAGCCGCUGAGGGCGCCGGGAGGGGAGAUGGAGAGGGCGCUUAUUCCAGUCGGUUGGGUUCUGAGAAAAAACUGAGACUUAAACAGUCGCAGAAUUUGGUACGGGAUUUGGGCUUACUUGAGCUACGUAUUGGACUUUGACGAAUUAAUACUUUCGAGAUGCGGUCCUAGAAUGGAAAGGAUUCAUCUCAUUUGGGGUCCAUGCUUGCAUAGUACUGGGAACUUCUGUAGAAGUCAUCUUGAUCUACAGGGAUGGUUCUGCAGUACUUGUGAUUUAAAUCGACAGCGUUAAGAGAUGAGAAGCAGGUAAUCAAGCAAGACGUAAUAAAUUCUGCUUCGGUAGCGGAAGGGCAUACACUACCUUUAUAGCCGACGGGUUCCACACCCUGUGCAUCUUUUUAGGCUCGUAACGGUGGAUUAUUGGAGGAAAGAGAGAAGAAUUUAACACUCCCUAUGGGUAUGUGGCAUUUAUAUACGCCGGCUGUCCAGGCGGAUCUGGAUAGAAGGAACUCGAACGAGG
rnacentral:sRNA from 1 species